rnacentral:rRNA from 1 species
CCUACGGGUGGCAGCAGUGGGGAAUAUUGCACAAUGGGGGAAACCCUGAUGCAGCGACGCCGCGUGAGUGAAGAAGUAUUUCGGUAUGUAAAGCUCUAUCAGCAGGGACGAGACAAGACGGUACUUGCUUAAGAACCCCCGGCUAACUACGUGCCAGCAGCCGCGGCAAUACGUAGGGGGCAAGCGUUAUCCGGAAUCACUGGGUGUAAAGGGAGCGUAGACGGCUGAGCAAGCCUGAAGUGAAAGGCGGGGGCCCAACCCCCGGACGGCUUUGGGGACUGGACGGCUGGAGUGCAGGAGAGGUAAGUGGAAUUCCUAGUGUAGCGGUGAAAUGCGUAGAUAUUAGGAGGAACACCAGUGGCGAAGGCGGCUUACUGGACUGUAACUGACGUUGAGGCUCGAAAGCGUGGGGAGCAAACAGGAUUAGAUACCCCAGUAGUC